CCCCGGGUGCUGUAACUUCACGUUAGGGUGUUCUCCUCACCGGGAGGUCACACAGGUGUAGGGAGUCUGGGGCGAGUGGGAACGUGGGGGCAUGGGCGAAGCCUCAGCCCAGAGAAAUGGGCAGUGCUGCCCCGGUACGGGGGGGGGGAGGUGUUUUAUUGCCCUGUCAUCCCGUGACGUAGCAAUCAGGCUUUUUAGAGUCCAAAACUUAGAAAAUAAUUGGCAAAUGAGUAAAAUGUGCGGAACAAAGACCGUAAUUCUUAAAAAUAAUCUUCAAUUAAAAUGGGGAAUUUCAACCCAGUCUGAUCUUGGCUGGUUACGGCUCCCAGUUGCCCUGGCACAGUACAGCACGUCCACGGUUGUGUCUUUUAUGAAGCUUUAUAUAUAGCAGGCCCGAUUUUAGGGGCAUGGGGAGGUGGGAGGGAGAUUUAUUACCUCAAAAGCGAACUCGUAUUUUCUGUUAAAGCUCUUUAAGCAGAUGAGGGGGCUAGAACUGCAGUUGGGAUAUUUAAUUACUUGAGCUGAAAAUAAUCACGCCUCAUAGUCCUUGGGUCCAAAUACUGGCUUGUUGUUGUUGUUACUUAAUAUUUACAUAACCAGUUUUGUCAUCACCACUUUAAAAAAAAA